GGAUGCAUUCAUUUCUCCCUCAGCAGCAAUGACCUAUGGAACAGUGGAAGAGGGAAGUAAAACUGGAGAAAGCAGCCUGGUGUUGGUGUAGUACAAUAAUCUGCAAACUGGGACUGGCACAUUCGGACUCAUCAUUCAUGACACAGCUCAAGUGUCUCUUUCUCCAUGAAACUUCCCUGACACGUUCAGCAGAGGCACCAUCGAGUCAGUUCUGACUCAUGGCAACGCUGUGUACAACGGAAUGAAACAUUGCCUGGUCCUAUGCCAUCCUCACAGUGUUGUUAUGCUCAAGCCCAUUGCUGCAGCCACUGCGAAAAUCCAUCUCAUUGAAGGUCUUCUUAGCUGACCCUCUACUUUACCAAGCAGUAUGUCCUUCUCCAGGGACCGAUCUUUCCUGACAACAUGUCCAAAAAUUCAGAUGAAACACUUCAUGUUGUAAACUGCCAAGAACAGUGUUGUGUGGGUGAAGAAAGACAGGAUGGCUGGGAGUUUAGCCUCAAAAACACGUGCUAUCUGGUUCCAACAGCACUUUUCAAAUGGACAACAGCAGGUCAAAAUGAAAUUUUUUGGCAAUUUUUAAAUUUUCUUCUUAAAAGUAUAUGUAUUCAAAAUACAAGUUUUUUUUUCUGGCUGCUAUUAUUCCUCAUCAGAGAUUCUAUUUCGAGGUCUGGCAAACUUCCUAUAAAGGUUUUGCAGGCCAUGCCAUCUCUGUCACCAAGAACUCUUCCAUUGCAGUGUGACAGCAGCCACAGACAAUGCAUACUUGAACAGGCAUGGCUGUACUCCAAUAAAACUUUUUUUUAGAGACAUUGAAAUACGAAUUUUACAUAAUUUCCAUGUGUCAUGAAAUAUUAUACUUUCUUUUUUUUUUAACCGCUUAAAAACGUAAAAGCUAUUCUUAGCUUGUGCGUCAUAUGAAAACAGGCAGCGGGCCAGAUUUCACCCACGGCCGUGCGACUCCUGCUCUUAUUCCAUGUCAUAUAAUUAUCUGAGGAGUACUUCCAUAAAUUAAAUAAUGCAUUUGCUCUUUCUUCCAGCUAAUCAAAUACGAGUAUAUUUCCCAGCUUCCCAGUUCCGCUUUCCCUUGCUUGUUUUGAAACCAGGUCUUAUUGAUAAAUAAAAACUCAAGGGCAAAAACAGGAAAAAAGGGCAGACAAAAUGUGUGCAUAUAGACACAUAUUCAACUGACCAAAAUUUUACUAUAACUGAAUUUUUCAAAUGAUAGGGAUUUUAGGAAAAAGAGGCAAGGAAGUAACAGAAGAAAAGGAAAAUAGGAGAAAUCGAGGGAGAAAAGGAGUAAAAAGGACAGAGACACAUAAAUGAAGGCAGCAUCCAACAAAGACAGAAAGAUGAAAACAGCUCGAGGUGAGAGGGGGAGUUGAGCACACAGUAAGGUCUCGAUAAAUAUAUGCUGAAAAAAAUCACAACUUGCAAUUCAUUUAGGCAUGGGCUUUCCAAGCAAACACGCACACACUAUAAUUCCUCUUUCAAAUGAUUGUUUUAAUUAGGCAAGGUUUUUAUAGUUCUUCGAAUGCCCUUAUCCUAAGCCUCUAGGGAAGAAAUCAUUUUCUGGGCUCAGGUGGCUACAGGCCAGAUGGUAUGAAGUUAAGAGCCACGACUAAACCCAACCCAAUGCCGUCAAGUCAAUUCCGACUCAUAGCGACCUUAUAGGACAGGGUAGAACUGCCCCAUGGAGUUUCCAAGGAGCGCCUGGCGGAUUCAAACUGCCAACCUUUUGGUUAGCAGCCAUAGCACUUAAUCACUACGCCACCAGGGUUUCUUCCCUACUAUACUUUACAUCUAUAUCUGUAAACACUAGACCAAAAGAACUGAUACUGAUGAGGCAUCAUGUGAUUUGAAUCAAAAAGCUUAAAAUAUGCUUACCAUGAGAUGUUAAGGGGAAAUAUUUGACUAAUCCUUUUAAGAAAGAUUUUUAAUAAGAGCUGAAAUCAUGGGAGUCCUUUGUUUAGCUCAAAAAAAAGAAUAAGGAAAUAUAUAAGCACAAACAUUUUAUUUCCCAAGCAUUUCAAGGAUUUUCUGUAGCUUUCCUUCAUUUGGAACUGCUUCUAGCUAUAAAACAGGAGGGAAAAAAAAUGAGAAUAUCAUCAAACCAAAACCAAACCAAAUGCAUUGCCAUCGAGUCAAUUCUGACUCAUAGCAACCCUACAGGACAGAGUAGAACUGCCCCAUAGAGUUCCCGAGAGUGUUAUUAGUAAUUUUAAAUUCACACCCCUCAGUCUUAAAUAGGUCUCCUCUUUCCUAAGCUCCUAUAGCACUCUGCCCUCUUUAAACAACAUUUAUCACACUUAUUCAAUGUCUGCCUUCUUCAUACGAUUUGAAGUAUUGUGAGGCAGUGACCACACUGAUCUUGUUAAAGCAGCAUAGCAUACAGGGUUCAACGUUGGCUCUGGAGACUUACUAGCUAUGUGAUCUUGGGCAAGUACCUUAAGCCCUCUGUGCCGAAGUCUACCCAUCUAAAAAUAGGGCUAAUAUCAACUUUGGGGGACUAGUGCAAGGAGUAAAUGAGUUAAUAUGGUACAUGUGCAUCUCAAAAGGUACCCAAUAUAAACGUUUGUUAAAAAAAAAAAAAAAAACAAA